ensembl:lncRNA
UUUUUUCUGCCUCGCUACCUCCUCUAUGUCCCGUCCCUAAACAAAUACUAGAAGACGAGGAAAAGGAGCCUUGGGUCUGGGAGCAACAACCAGAGGGAGAGAAAAAAGUUCGAAAUGAAAGGAAGGCUCACAGGGGGAUAAUUGUAGGGUGCACUGCAUACGAGAAAAGCUGCGAAAGAGGAAAGGAAGAGAAUUCAGGAGAGUGGGAGAAAGCCUUAAGGACAGACUAGUAACUUUUGCUUGCUGUUUUAGGUCACUGAUUUUACAAGUGCGAACAGUUCGAUUGUAGAUGGAGUUCAGUUUUCUCACUUAAUACUCUGUAAUUUUCAUUUCUACUUUGGAUUGAUCCCAGUUUCUUGUUAACAUUUUAAAGCUUCUUUCAGGAAUAUUGCAGGUUUUCGCUGGCUGACAGUUUUAGUUUCCAUUUCCCAAGUCAUCACACUUUCACAGGCCCCCAAAAGCACCCCCCUGUCCCCACUAGCCCUGGACUGGCAAACCGAAAGGGCACGCUAAGCCUCCAAUUUUACUACGUAUUGCGGGGGCUCCAUAUUUCGGUUUUGGAGUCUUUAAACGAACUCAACUUUUAACUAUUUGAUCUUAACAGUAAUUGAUGUUAUGUGAAUAAGCGGACAGUCUUGCUACACCUCAGUUUUGUUGAAAUAGCAUAAAAUUUUGAGAUAAAUAUGUCCCCCUAGCAAGUGAGCUAUUGAACCAGACUCCAUUCUCUCUUCUGUCCUUUCUGUGCCGUGAUGCUUCGUGAGACACAAGCUUUUAGUCUGGCUGCUGUUUAUCUUCUAUGCUUGGCACUGGGAAAAACCAAUAGACCUAGUGGCGGGAGACAUCGCAAGGGCUGAAAAUUCGUCGUUCAGAAAAUGUUACCCUUGUGGAAAAUGUCUACAGAGGCAGCUGAUGCAUCCCCAGGGAGGAACAUCAAAAGUUGCACAAAGUUUCCACUACCUUUGAAAGUGAUACCACUGAAAACCGGAGAAGUUAAGCAAUUUAAUCAAGUUCACAGAGUUAAGUUCCUGAACUCAUGAGCAAGAAAUGUCAGAUGAUCUUUCAUGUCGUUAAAUUGAAUUGAAUCUGAUCCCAAGCCUCUUCUUGCCAGCUGUGGUUACUUUAGAAAACCGUCUUGAGUCCAGAAUUUAUGCCAAGCACGAGGGAUGAAAAGGGAGAGAUGAUGUGUUUUUUGUCUGUAAGAAAUAAAAGACCUAAUAGGGAACACACUACAAAAAAGAAAAAUAUUUGCCUUCUUCCUCUUUUUGACUCUGGUAGGCUGGCUGAAAACGUGCGGAACCGAAAGUGAAGAGGGUAGAAGAGGAGCCACUUGAGAGACCAAGAGUGACUGCUAGAGGUGAGAGGAAAAAAUGCUGAGCAGUGCCACAUAAUUGUUGUCAAGAUGAUGGAAAAUAAAAAAUAACGUCAGCUGCACAAACCGAAUCAUAAGUUAUAAUUUUAUUUGUUCCUUGACAGUAAAAAAAAUAUUUUAUUAACAGACUUAAAAACACAAAGAGAGAGAGAGUCUUGCAAUAAAGAGCUUUAUCGCUUCC